UACGAAGGGGGCUAGCGUUGCUCGGAAUCACUGGGCGUAAAGGGCGCGUAGGCGGCUUUAUAAGUCGGGGGUGAAAGCCUGUGGCUCAACCACAGAAUUGCCUUCGAUACUGGUUGGCUUGAGACCGGAAGAGGACAGCGGAACUGCGAGUGUAGAGGUGAAAUUCGUAGAUAUUCGCAAGAACACCAGUGGCGAAGGCGGCUGUCUGGUCCGGUUCUGACGCUGAGGCGCGAAAGCGUGGGGAGCGAACAGG
rnacentral:rRNA from 1 species